rnacentral:rRNA from 1 species
GACGAACGCUGGCGGCGUGCUUAACACAUGCAAGUCGAACGGAAAGGCCUUUUCGGAGGUACUCGAGUGGCUCACGGGUGAGUAACACGUGGGUGAUCUGCCCUGCACUCUGGGAUAAGCCUGUGAAACUGGGUCUAAUACCGGAUAGGACCGCACUUUAGUGUGUGUGGUGGAAAGUUUUUUCGGUGUAGGAUGAGCCCGCGGCCUAUCAGCUUGUUGGUGGGGUAAUGGCCUACCAAGGCGGCGACGGGUAGCCGGACUGAGGGGUUGGUCGGCCACAUUGGGACUGGGAUACGGCCCAGACUCCCAAGGGAGGCAGCAGUGGGGAAUGUUGCAACAUGGGGGGAAGCCUGAUGCAGCGAAGCCGCGUGGGGGAUGAAGGCCUUCGGGUUGUAAACUCCUUUCGGCAGGGAAGAAGCGUUUUGUGACGGUAACUGGAGAAGAAGCACCGGCUAACUACGUG